rnacentral:lncRNA from 1 species
AAGACUUCAAGCUCUGGUUGUGUGGCAGCAUUUAUAGAGAAAACUUUAGGCCUCUCCUUAUGUUCAAACCAAUUAUAAAUCACAUUAGGUGGGUGAGGCAGGCUAAUUCUUCAUUUUACGUACCAGCCCUCUAGCAAUUUGAUCAUGGAUCUCUCUCUCUCAUUCCUUAUAGAGGAACUUCCAUUUCCUUACACUUACACAGAUUUGAAUAAGACCAAUACACCAGAGGACAAGUAAGGAGCGGCAGCUAUCAUACAUACUGACUUUGAUUUGCAACAAGAUACCACAAGGUAUUUUCAUAACUGCACUUUGGAAACAAUGAUUACACAAGAUUUCUAUUAGUUAACUGCAUAACUUGUAAAAAAACAAAUGCUGCAUUGUUUCAAUGGAUCACUGUCAAACUAGAAGGGCAUAGUGACUGAAGCACCAUUAAAAGCUGCCUUGGAACUUUGAUGUUUGUUAAAUGUGCUCUUUCUGUUGUUAGUAAGACUUCAGCUGAAGUACUAUGUUAGCCCUGGGCUAACCUCAGCUGGAUAAUGUCCAGAAUACAGAGAAUGGAGAGCUUAAAAAAAUUAGAGGAUAAAGUAGGAUCAGUCUAAAACAGACAACUGCAGAGAUAUGAUGAUGAUUUUUGAAAAAGGUGAAAAUUGGUUGUAGAAAGAGGAGACCAGUUGAGGAAUCAUGGUCUUAAAAACUUUAGUCUUUGACUAAAGACACUGAAGCGAAGCAUAAAAUAAAAAU